GCGAAUGUAGCUCAAUGGUAGAGCAAUUGAUUUGUAAUCAAUAGGUUAAAGGUUCAAAUCCUUUCUUUCGCU
rnacentral:tRNA from 1 species